UAAUGUACCAUGUGUUCCUACAUUGUCGAGAAAUAGUUCCGUUUAUUUUAUUUGCUGCUCCUUAAUCUUUUUACCAGUUUAAUCUAGAAAGUGUAUCCAUUUCACUAGGCUGUUAAAGCCCUGCGCUGUCCUCCUUACUCCUUCAACUUUCUUGAGUGUUAUGUCAUCUACAAACUUUGAAAUUAAGCUUGAUAAUGGCACAAUGGUGCAGAAAAUGAUGCUGUUACCUCAAAGCUCCAGGGACCCAGGUUUAAUCGUUAAAUCAAGUGCUGUCAGUGUGAAGUUUGCACUGUGAUUGUUUGGUUUACCCCAGGACCUUCAGUUUUCUCCACACCCCAAAAAACAAACUGAUGAAUUUGCUGCACAAGAGACUACAGAGGCUGGAAUCUGGGGCAACAAAAGAACUGGUGGAGGAACUCAGCGGGUGAGAUAAUUAUAUUCAGUGCAAAAGAGUUACGAGAUUUUAAUAGUUAGACGAAUCUUGGCACUGGCUUUCCAAUGUUUUUAUGUAUCUCUGAAAGAAAACACUUUAAUUAUGUCUGAACAUUUCAUUCUGAUUUAAUAAAAGAGCUCUUGGCUGUCGCCUUUGCUCCAGUAAGACAUAUCUGAAUGUCUAUGUAGUUGUUUUAAUGGCAAUCAAAUCAGUGAGGAUGGCCCAGGUCAGCACAACACAUGUACCCAGAAGACGGGGGAUUUCAAUGGAGCUGACAAAAUAAAUAUUAUACAAUAAACACAUUGUUCUCUAUUUUUAUGUUGCAAACAUGUCAUUGACUCCACACAACAACCCUUGUGUUAUAGAUGCAGAAACUGCCUUGGCAGAAUUCACAAAUCACGGCCCAAAAAUGUGCGAUAUGGAAUAAAAUUUGCUGUCACAGAAUUUAUGUGAAAAAAAACAUUUUUUUUAAACUCGUGUUUUAAACAUGAGCUUAUGCUUAGCUUCAUUCACAGAGAAUGACAAAACAUACUCAAGGUGCAAAACAAAUAUCCCCGUUUCUGUUGUCCAUGGACCACUGUGCCUAAUUUUAGUUGCACUCAUCCACUAUCCAAACAUUUUUCUUGUAUACCUCUCAUAGCGAUAAAAGACCUUCACCCAUCUUGUGGACCAUGAACAAACUAAGACAUAUUAAGGUCAUAAAGAAUAGGAGUAGAAUUAGGCCAUUUGGUCCAUCACAUCUACUCCACCAUUCAAUCAUGGUUGAUCUAUCUCUCCCAUUCGCCUGCCUUCUCCCCAUAACCUUUGGCACCUGUACUAAUCAAAAUGACUGCUAUUAUUUGUAUGGGUAACCCCUGGCAUCCCCUCCUAACUGGAAACAUGUGAGAAGGUGAACCCAGUGAUGUUUGUUUUUACGAUUGUGAAGCGACCUGAUUAAUUCGAGCAAAGCUGUGGGUGAGUUGGUACCAUCAUUUCACCUCACCCAUAAUAUUAAACACGUGUGGAGGCAGCGUUCUUAUAUUGCAUGUGUUGCAAACUGGCUGAGGGCAGCUGUAAGUAAUGCAAACAAUCAGCUGCUGAUUCUACAACACCUGUAGGUGUCUAAAGUGCACUAUUGGUUACACGUAUCUUCAGCAUAGUGAUGUGUUCUGAGUUAUCACGUCGUCAAUGUUAACUGUUCAGUAAAGUUGGAGAGGAACAGUGGAUUUGUAAGAGAAAUUUCAUUUACUGCGGUAGAGAUAGAAUGGACUCUCUUUAUUCGCCACCCCACACACACCCCCAUUGCCUGAAGCGUCGCGGUGUAAAGCAAUGCUUGUCGGAAUUACGAGGUUUUAAUGAUAUUUCCUGGAUUCUCCCAUCCGUCACCUUUUGGGGGGGAAGUGACUACUUAACGUGUCUGGGAAUUUCAAGAUGCUGCUUGGCCUGCUGAGUUCCUCCAGCGAUUUGUUUCUUCAUCAAGAUUCCAGCAACUGCAGUCCAUUGUCUCUAGAAUAUUGUUUAAAUGGAGAAAGGUUACAAAUUGCUAUGGAGCAGAGGCAUCUGUGUUUCUGUACACAAAACAAGAUGCUGUCUGGUCUGCCGAGUUCCUCCAGCACUUUGGUCUUUGUUCAAGAGUUUCACAAUCAAGAUGCAAGAAUCAUCUUAGAUUAUAAUACAAACACCCAAAUAUCCUGAUCUCAGUUAAACUGCGUGGGCAUGUGGAUGAUAUACUGGAGUGCACGUGGAUGAUAUAUUGUAAUUUUCUAUUACACUAUGGAGAAUUACCAAGGCAGAGCUUGUGGUUCCCAUUGUUCCUAACGUGGGGAAAUGUAGGUUAACCAAACAAAAACAUAUUUUGUUUAAACUCUUUGCUUGGGCUUUUGCAUCACUUAUCACAGCAAAGCAGUAUUUUAAAAGAAA